ACACCGAUCCGUACAAUAAGGAAUGAAGUAGUAGUUUCAUAAUGCUGUUUCAUUGAUCUGUGUUUCAAUUCCAAGGAGAUUCCGAAAACCAUGAACAAGAUUAAGGCAGAAUUUAUGUACUACCGAAAAAGGAUAUAAGGGACUGGAGUUGUUUAGGAUGAACUGAAGAUAGCUUUCAGAGUGGAGAACAAAUUGGAAGCAAAACUUGAAGCAAAGAGACACAGGCAGCUGUUAAUCUGUCACUAAAAAGGUGGAGAGGUUAGCUCUGUGGUGCAGCAGUAAAGUGUUGCUCAAAAGCAGCUGGAAUCCCACGUGGUGACCACAGUUUGAAUCCCCAGCCCUUGUCAACCUGAAACAUCCCAGGCAUUUGCAUGAGGGGCCUGGAUCAGAUGGACUGGAGGACUGAAGGAAGGGAGCUAUGGCAUUACCAGACCCCAUGGAGAGUGCUCAUCUUCUCAUCUUUCUCUUUUGUCAUCCCCUCACUCUCGUGUACAUAUACUCUAACAUAAAUAAAGAAUAACAAUAAGAAUGUUUAAUGAUGGAAAAUGGUGGUACAAAACCAAGGUGCUUUUCUGAGAUGAAGAAGAGAGGUACAGACUCAUAAAUAUUGUGAAAGUUGGGGCCCGCAUGUGGCGUGAUAGCUAAAACAUUGUGUAAUAGAGUUGGACAUAAGGUUGAGGCUUCUAACUUCCUCGUAAAGUAUAUCAGCUAGUUUGUCUGUUCAACCUGAUGGGUUAUAUACUUGGAGAGCCUGGCAGAGAUGUGAAAUAAUUAUUGGGAACAGAGAAGCUAUGCUGUAGACAGGUUGGAGGAUUGCAGGUCAUUUUGAAGGAUCUGAGAAAUGGAAGACCAUAGAUCUUCAAACUCCAUGAGAUUUUUCUUUAGUAAAUUUGAGCCCAGACAGAAUUGACAUUCUUCUAAAAAUGCUUUCAUAUUGAAGAUUAGUCUGUUAAAAAUAGUGAGUAAUAAUCUAGUAUGAGACCACUCUUAUAAAAUUCUUUGUAAUCUACUGAAAUGGGAAAAUUAUAGUAAUUAACCCAGAGGCUUCAAUCAUAAAUAAAGUGACCUUUGAAAUCA